GUUUAAACUAAAAGUUAAAUGUAAUAUCAACCAAUUUCUUAUGCAGACAAGUGGAUGCCGCUGCACUGUUACAAUUGUCCGUUUAGUUGAAACACAAAAUUGGUGGUACCCAGCUUGCAACUUAUGCAAAAAAUCAUGCUUACCAGAAGGUUCAUCUUUCAGAUGUCCAAAAUGCAACAUAUUGGACAUGUACACAUACAACAACAUGUUAUUACUUAUUUUAAUAGAUACUAUAUAAAAACAUAAAUAUUUAUUGCUACCACACUAAAAUACAAUUGCAAUUAGAUACAAGCUGUCAUUUUUUGCUUCCGAUGGAACUGAAGAAUCAGAGAUGAUUGCCUUCGCUGCUGUUGCUCAAGCCAUAGUUGGCAAACCAGUUGAAACUGUGAUGAGAUCAAUAAGAAAUAGAGACAAUAUUCCUCCUGAUAUUGCUGCCAUUGUAUCUUCGAAAUUCACCUUCUCUGUCGCAAUGGCAGAGUCUAGCUUCAGCAAACCAAAGAAAUCCUACCAAAUCAACAGCAUAUUGCACAAUUAUGGGAAACAACGUGCUCUACCAUUCCACGGUCCAAAUCAAGCUGAACUGUCAAAUGAACAUAACCAGUUAUCUGCCUAGCCUAGUGCAAGUACUUCUCCAUCAUACAUUCCUCCUGGUAGUUCUCAAAAUCCUCUCCAUGAAACUCCAACCAAAAUACUACCACUAGACCAGAUCCUCCUGCAAACUCCACCAAAAAACAUAGAGCUUCCUAAAAACAGCAAAGGAGAUGACAAUAUCAUUGAUCCUACACCAUCAACUGAAGCAAAGUCAGCAAAGAAAAGACUGCACAUUUCAGAAAGAGAUGAAGAAAAGGAUGGAGAAGAACCGUAUUCUGAAACAACUCCUGACCAAGAGAUACCUCAGCAAACAAAUCUUAACAGGCAAAGCAACGUGCAGCGAGCAGCGACGUCACCUACAGAAAAGAUCAGUUCCUCUAGAAGCUCAAAGAGCCCUAAGAAAUGACAAGAUCAGCAUUUAGUCAGCUUUCCCGGCCUUACCACCGGACACUACCUACCAACCAAAACUCGACGAAGCAGUGGUAGCGCCAGCACUUUGAUCUUGCCAAUCAAAAUUAAAAAUAGAGUCCUUAUAUAUAAACUAAUGUCUGCCAAACCAUCAAUAUGGUAGUCGUAUAUUGUGUACCUAACUAUUUGCAGAACUGAACACCUUGCAAACACUAGCUGUAAUGAGACAUACUACUUUUAUGUGCUUCAGGCUAUCUAAUUAUAGAAUUAUAUUACAUA